CCCUGAGAGUCCAAGAAAUCUUUCUUUCGACUCCUUGGCUCACCGACCCCACAUCAUUUCUGGUGGCCCGUACAGGGAUCUUGCUUCACCGGCUUGUGAGCUCAAGUUCUGGUAAGUACCGUUUUUGCUUUGUGCCUUUCUCUUUUCGAGGAUGGAUCUAAAUUCACUUCUCCAUCGGAAACCUUCUCAGACAGCUGUAUCAAUCCACGUUUGCUGCCCAUGGCUACUCUAUGGGGCAAAUCUUGGCAUUCAGCCUGAAAAGAAUCAAUACCUUAAGCCUGAGGGUGAUAAAGAAUGAAUUAAUCCAUUCCUUCCUAAUCCUAUUCUAAAAUAUAAAUUUUACAUGGGCAGGGGUGACCACUUAAGUCAUUAGGACAGUCGCCAAUCUCCAAGACUCCCGUGGCAGGUUUCUUUUCCUAAGACUGGAUGGGUAUCCCUCCCUAUGGUUCCUGACCACACUCUGAACUGCGGGAAAGUCCCAACCGGGACUCCAGUUGAAGGAAAGUACCAAACUUUAAACUUUGGUUCAAUAUGGGAACCCCUUCUUGGGAGAACGGCUCCAGGAUGUAAUUGGGUAAAAUGUCCCCCAGACCAGCGGAAAAUUCCUCACUGUUUUUCUCUAUUUUUCUUUUAUCUCUGGGACCAUUCACCAGGCACCUAUUACUACCAGGCAUAAUAGGGAAAGUAUACAAGGGAUGCAAUGCUGGGGGACGCCCCCAUUACCCCUUGCUAUAGGAACCCCACAGGAGGAAUGAUGGGUAGGAUGCUGCCCUGGGUUCAGGGGGUUGUCAAGGUAAUGGACCCUUUUCUUUCAUUUCUCUUAAAGUUAUAGUGGCCAUUUUGGGUUCCUUUUGAGCUUUGCAACCGAGAAACAAAGGAAUCUUUAAAGAGUCAAAGGCUCCACCCCGGGAGCUCCCCCUACCCCGGUUUCCAAAAUUAAGAGCUCUAAUUGGCUUAAAAGAAAUUCAUGGAAAGGAUUCUGACACAGGAUUCCAGAAAACACUUUUCUGAUAAACUUUCAGAUCAUAAUACUGAACUGGGUAAGAAAUUACAGAAUUCUAAUAGAGAAACAAAGCUCAUAAAUCUGCUAACAGAAGAUUAAGAUCAAGAAUCAAUUAUAUAAGACUGAAUGAACUGAUGAGGAUGAUUAUAAUUUUUUAUGAAUUUUUUUGAAAUAUUGUUGAUUUCUUGAUGUUUUGUUUCAUUUUCUCAGAUUUAAGGAAAUAUUUUUCUCUUUUCUCUUAUGCUAUGACUUGUAACAAUUUGGUGAAAUUAUACCUUUGUGAGCAUAACUGAAACAUUUAUCUUUUUCUCCCUAUCAGAUCCCUCCAGAUUUUGGAAACUUAGUGAGGGAUCUGUACACCUUGUCAGCCUUGGACUCCAUGGAUGCAACCUUCCAGUCCACUGAACGUCCUGCCUGUACCCCUGUGGUCCCCAUUUAGGGACAGCUCUACGACCUUGUACGGCCGGGAGUAGUUACAGAAGACUGACCAUUGUCCAUAUCGCCAAAGGAUUUCCAGGCCAAAUGGGUUCAGGGAGGAUUUCAUGAUGAGGAUCAAGGCUGCCCCAGGGAGAGAAGCCCAAGGCGUCCUGGCCUACAUGUCAAUCUAUAUCACCCUCCAGGAAGCAUAGGACAUC